AUGCAGGGUCUUCAUCUUAUUCCCGUCUCUGGAAUUUCACAAUGUGCUUCUGAUCAGUCUUGGGUUCUUUUCAUUCCGGAAGCUGCUGUUCCUCAGGCUGGGAGGCGGAACUGUAUUACUCAUUGGGUCCUUUCCUCCCUGCUCUUUGGUUUUCUGCCUUCUCCCCGCCUCUCCCUGCACCUCCUCAAGUCGUUAUUACCUUUUAUCUUUUGUUCUAUUUUUGCAUUUUCCUCAACUUCAUCUCCUGAGAUUUUUCAUUUCUGCUCUCCUAUUUUUAACUCCCGAGAACGCCUUCUUUCUCUCCAGGUGCUCCUUUCGAUAGCCUCCUUCUCUUAAUCUCUUGCUCUCUUUUUUAAAAUUUCCCUGAAGAGCGGCUGGGGCUGGGGCUCAGCGGUAGAGCACCUGCCUGGCAUAAGUGAGGCCCUGGGUUCGAUUCUCAGCACCGCAUGUAAAUAAACAAAAUCAACAACUAAAUUUUUUUUUAAUAUAAAAUCCCUGAAGAUAAGGAUUAAAGUUCAUUUGAAGUUGUGUGUGCGCUCGCACGCUCACAAGAGCAUCCCGUAGGACCUCUCUCUUCUCUGAGUGCCUUCUGUUUGCUACCUUUUCCUUUCAUGUUAGAGCUUUCUCUCAAAUAUCUGGCAAUCUUGGUUGUCCAUUGAUAUCUGAUGCCCUGGGAAUUUGCAGGAAGCUGACAGGGAACUUCUGCCAGCAGACCCUGCUAUUGGGCUCCCUGGGCUUGUGUCUCAGUGUUCUGGUGGGCGGCUCCUGAUCAGCUUUCCCUGAUGCCUGUGAUCCAGUGUCCAGUCUCUUCAAGAGCCCAGAAACCAGUCAGGAGUUGUUCCUCCCUGGGAAGAGCCUGUGGGCGCCCGCGGUCCACUGUGGGAUGGUUCUCCACUCAAGUUCCAGACACCUGAGCAAGGACUUCCAGGUGGCACGGUGGGGUCACUGGCCUCCAGAGAAAUGACUGUGAAUGUGCAGAUGGACGAUGGCCGACCACAUGGGAAAAGAGCCCAAGCCUGCAACUGGCAGCUACCAAGUCCAGGACACCAACCCCCAUCUACACUAGCCUGCCAGAGGCCAGCCACAGUGAGACUGCUCCCUCCCUGACCAUCUGCAAAAGACAACUGUGGUGAUCAGCCCCAGAUGCCAGGACUUGGUUGAUAACUGACACUGGGCUAGUUUUUGUCUCUGCUUUUAACUUAAGACCUCCCAGCGAAAGCCAGGUGUAUAGUGGGAUAUCUGCUUUGAGUCAGGCUCCCCCAGCUCCCUGGAGCAGCUCCCUCCAUCAGGACAUGCCGGAGCCUUCCUUCCCUGUGUCCACUGAAAACCAUUCUCCUUCCCUGCCUGCCUUUGAAUCUCCGCAAACACAAGCCACAGUGGCUGGUUCCCUGUUGGAGCAAGCUUGGGGAUGGGUCACUCCAGGACCACUUCCCACUCUGCAGGAAGCUGGCCACGAUGCUGGUGCCAUGCUCUUGGAAUUUCAGGAUUAUGAACCCGAACAAACCUCUUUCCUUUAUAAGUUAGUCUCAGGUGUUCUGUUGUAGCAACAGAAACGGACAGAGGACAGUGCCAUUCUCAUCAAGGACAGAAUACGGAGGCCAAGGAAAAUCUGUACAAACCAACCUUAUUAAACUAACCCUAUCUUCAUGGA